rnacentral:Y_RNA from 1 species
GGUUGGUCCCAGUGCAGUGGUGUUUACAACUAAUUGAUCACAACCAGUUACAGAUUCCUUUGUUCCUUCUCCACUCCCACUGCUUCACUUGACCAGCCUUAA